AGCUUUGCUCAGUGACAGUGUCAUAGCCAAUGAGGUUUAUCCGAGGCUCGAUUAUUGCUAAUUGAAAAAUACUUAUGUAGAAAUAAUAAGAGACCUACUAAAAAUCUUGGCAGGACAAAGUGAAAAAGACCUGUU